rnacentral:rRNA from 1 species
UACGUAGGGUGCGAGCGUUAAUCGGAAUUACUGGGCGUAAAGCGUGCGCAGGCGGUUUUGUAAGCCAGAUGUGAAAUCCCCGGGCUCAACCUGGGAAUGGCAUUUGGGACUGCAAGGCUGGAAUACGGCAGAGGAGACUGGAAUUCCUGGUGUAGCAGUGAAAUGCGUAGAGAUCAGGAGGAAUACCGAUGGCGAAGGCAGGUCUCUGGGCUGAUACUGACGCUCAUGCACGAAAGCGUGGGGAGCAAACAGG